rnacentral:rRNA from 1 species
AGCGAACGCUGGCGGCAGGCCUAAUACAUGCAAGUCGAGCGGGUCCUUCGGGAUUAGCGGCGGACGGGUGAGUAACGCGUGGGAACGUGCCCUUUGGUACGGAACAACUGAGGGAAACUUCAGCUAAUACCGUAUGUGCCCUUUGGGGGAAAGAUUUAUCGCCAUUGGAGCGGCCCGCGUUGGAUUAGGUAGUUGGUGAGGUAAAGGCUCACCAAGCCUACGAUCCAUAGCUGGUCUGAGAGGAUGACCAGCCACACUGGGACUGAGACACGGCCCAGACUCCUACGGGAGGCAGCAGUAGGGAAUCUUGCGCAAUGGGCGAAAGCCUGACGCAGCCAUGCCGCGUGAAUGAUGAAGGUCUUAGGAUUGUAAAAUUCCUUCACCGGGGACGAUAAUGACGGUACCCGGAGAAGAAGCCCCGGCUAACUUCGUGCCAGCAGCCGCGGUAAU